rnacentral:rRNA from 1 species
UACAGGGGGGGGCAAGCGUUGUUCGGAAUUACUGGGCGUAAAGGGUCUGUAGGUGGCCAACUAAGUCAGACGUGAAAUCCCUCAGCUUAACUGGGGAACUGCGUCUGAUACUGGAUGGCUUGAGUGUGGGAGAGGAAUGCGGAAUUCCAGGUGUAGCGGUGAAAUGCGUAGAUAUCUGGAGGAACACCGGUGGCGAAGGCGGGUCUCUGGGCCGAUACUGACGCUGAGGAGCGAAAGCGUGGGGGAGCGAACAGGG